AUUGAACGCUGGCGGCAGGCCUAACACAUGCAAGUCGAACGGCAGCACAGAAGAGCUUGCUCUUUGGGUGGCGAGUGGCGGACGGGUGAGUAAUGUCUGGGAAACUGCCCGAUGGAGGGGGAUAACUACUGGAAACGGUAGCUAAUACCGCAUAACGUCGCAAGACCAAAGUGGGGGACCUUCGGGCCUCACACCAUCGGAUGUGCCCAGAUGGGAUUAGCUAGUAGGUGGGGUAAUGGCUCACCUAAGCGACGAUCCCUAGCUGGUCUGAGAGGAUGACCAGCCACACUGGAACGGAGACACGGUCCAGACUCCUACGGGAGGCAGCAGUGGGGAAUAUUGCACAAUGGGCGCAAGCCUGAUGCAGCCAUGCCGCGUGUAUGAAGAAGGCCUUCGGGUUGUAAAGUACUUUCAGCGGGGAGGAAGGCGGUGAGGUUAAUAACCUUGCCGAUUGACGUUACCCGCAGAAGAAGCACCGGCUAACUCCGUGCCAGCCGCCGCCGUAA
rnacentral:rRNA from 1 species